AUUGUCACGUGAUUUUAAGUAAGUAUUGUCUCCCGAUUGUACUGUUUCGUUUCUCUCUAUCCUAAUCAGGCUUUCUGUAAACACUGCUCAACAUACAACACAUCUAACUCAAGAACUUGACAACAAGAGUUCCAAAAGAAUCUGGUACUUUAAUGAGUAAAUAAAAUAGCCAAUACGACGCUAUUGGCAACACAAUAAA